ACUCCUACGGGAGGCAGCAGUGGGGAAUAUUGCACAAUGGGCGCAAGCCUGAUGCAGCCAUGCCGCGUGUAUGAAGAAGGCCUUCGGGUUGUAAAGUACUUUCAGCGGGGAGGAAGGCGAUAAGGUUAAUAACCUUGUUGAUUGACGUUACCCGCAGAAGAAGCACCGGCUAACUCCGUGCCAGCAGCCGCGGUAAUACGGAGGGUGCAAGCGUUAAUCGGAAUUACUGGGCGUAAAGCGCACGCAGGCGGUCUGUCAAGUCGGAUGUGAAAUCCCCGGGCUCAACCUGGGAACUGCAUUCGAAACUGGCAGGCUAGAGUCUUGUAGAGGGGGGUAGAAUGCCAGGUGUAGCGGUGAAAUGCGUAGAGAUCUGGAGGAAUACCGGUGGCGAAGGCGGCCCCCUGGACAAAGACUGACGCUCAGGUGCGAAAGCGUGGGGAGCAAACAGGAUUAGAAACCCCGGUAGUCCCAUGAU
rnacentral:rRNA from 1 species